AAACUGCAACGAUGAACAGAUCAGAAUAGGCGACAUGCACUGAACAAGGUAAAAAAGACAGAAAAUUAUCUGGAGAGGUGGCCGGAGGACACAUCAAGAAGCGCCUUGUACAUUGAAUCAGGCAACAUCUCAUCCUAUAAAAUAAAAUGGGUUUUCCGAUGAGCUGAGAAGACGAGCCUGGCUUUAUAGGCAGAAAAGGGCUGAAGAAAACAGAAACAGAGAACAAAAAGCAGAUGCUUUGUUUCAAGGAUCCGGUUUUGUUCAGGUGUUCACACGAAUCAUGAGAUUCACAGGAAUGGGAAGCCGAACUCAUUCCCAGCUCCAGAAGUGGAUGCUGAUAUUUUAAACCAAUCACCAGAUGCCAUUCCUUUGAUGAUGAUGAUUAAUUUGUCCAGGGGCAGUGAGGAAAAGGAAACGAGAUGUCCAGCUGUUGGCCCCAGUCAUAAGAGGAAGCUGAUGCUGCGGAUGAAGAGUGGAGCAAUGGAAAUAAUCUGGGGUCCAGUAACAUUGCUAAACUACUGAUUCAACUAGCCUUUCUUUUUUUCUUUUCUUUUUCUUUCUUUUCUUUUUUCUUUCUUUUUUUUUUUUUUUAAGAGACAGGGUCUUGCUCUGUCACCUAGGCUGGAGUGCAGUGGUGAGAUUAUAUCUCACUGCAGCCUCCCACUUCUGGGCUCAAAUGAUCUUUCCUCCUCAGCUUCCCAAGUAGCUAGGACUAUAGGUUCAUGCCACCACACUGGGCUAAUUUUUAAAUUUUUUUUGUAGAGACAGGGUCUUGCUAUGUUGCCAAGGCUGGUCUAGAACUCUUGGCCUCAAGUGAUGCACCUUCCUCUUCCUCCCAAAGCACUGGGAUUACAAAGGCAUGAGGCACCAUGCCUGACUAACCAUGAAGACUGCUUUAUCUCUGAAUAAAUCCCCUUUUUUUAAAACCCAGCUUUUGUGAGGGUUUCUGUUACUUGCAGCAAAAGGGUCCUGAUGGACACAGUUGUUUUUGCAAUGUAUGAGAAAUCCUCAAAACUGGCUUUUCCCAUGCUUGCCUUCCUCUCCGUUACACGCACUGCCUAAAGCAAAGUGACUGCUUCCUCGGGAGUCAGGUUUUAAGGUCCCUGGGGUAGUUCUGCUUCCACAGUUUAGGUUUACCAAGAGGCAGAUAUGUUUGUCCACGAGCUGGUUUUGCCAGUUGCACUUGUUUUUGUAAUUAUGUAAAGCAAUGAAAUAUGAGUGAGGGAAAGAAUUGCUGUUGUCCAAAAUCCAAACUGAAUGCUUUCCAUAAACAGUAAAGACAAGUUGCUUAGAAAACAAAGCAAAUACAAAACAAUCUUAGAGUUUCAUGCAGGUGAGGCAAGUGUAAAAUAAUUGGAAAAUUUUGUUAAAUCUAGAAUAAUUCUGAACUCAGAUUGUUCCCCAACUGUCCUUCAGUUCUGGCUCUACUUUAAAGCUAUUGGGACUGAAAACCACUGACUUUUUAAAUGACUACACAUGACUCCUAUUAGAUGUCACAUGUCUUAAAAGAGGCCUUAUCCCUUCAAAAUACUGUCAAAUGAAAGAAUAUUUAUAUGUUUUACUUUAGUAAAAUAUUAAAAAUGUUUUCCAUUUUUAAUGUUUCUUUGCUCUAACUGACUAACUGCUUUAACUGAUUACCCAACUAGCUACCAGUCUGGUGGCUUCUGAGUAAAUGUACCCCUGUUCCUCUUUAGCCCCUUCUCCUACCUGGUCAACCUACUGCCCUCAGUCUCUUUCCUUUCUCCAUCUUGUCAGCAUAGAACAGUACAGCAUCAAUAACAACUGAUUUUUGCAAAAUUAUAAUUACAAUAGCAAGAGUAUUUUUCUUUUUUUUUUUGUUUUGAGAUGGAGUAUCGCUCUGUCGCCCAGGCUGUUGUGCGGUGGCAUGAUCUCGGCUCACUGCAAGCUCCAUCUCCUGGGUUCACUCCAUUCUCCUGCCUCAGCCUCCCGAGUAGCUGGGACUACAGGCGACCGCCACCACGCCCGGCUAAUUUUUUUGUAUUUUUAGUGGAGACAGGGUUUCACCGUGUUAGCCAGGAUGGGCUCGAUCUCCUGACCUUGUGAUCCGCCUGCCUCGGCCUCCCAAAGUGCUGGGAUUACAGGCAUGAGCCACUGUGCCUGGCCGAGUAUUUUUCAUUUUAAUAAAAGUUCUGGGAGGAUCUACACUAAAGUGUUAACUGCUAUUUCUGCAUGAAGAGACUGUGGAUUUUUUUCUUAUUUUCAUGUAUGAGGAUAAUAAUGAUGUGUACUAGUAUUGACUUGGUUAUAACAAACUAAAAAUAAUCUUUUAACCCAAGAACAAAGAAUAUUUUGUCUUUUUAUGAGAAUUUACUUUUUACAGAGAACUUUUAG
rnacentral:lncRNA from 1 species